UGGGGAAUUUUGGACAAUGGGCGAAAGCCUGAUCCAGCAAUGCCGCGUGUGUGAAGAAGGCCUUCGGGUUGUAAAGCACUUUUGUCCGGAAAGAAAUCCUUGGCUCUAAUACAGUCGAGGGAUGACGGUACCGGAAGAAUAAGCACCGGCUAACUACGUGCCAGCAGCCGCGGUAAUACGUAGGGUGCAAGCGUUAAUCGGAAUUACUGGGCGUAAGCGUGCGCAGGCGGUUUGCUAAGACCGAUGUGAAAUCCCCGGGCUCAACCUGGGAACUGCAUUGGGUGACUGGCAGGCUAGAGUAUGGCAGAGGGGGGUAGAAUUCCACGUGUAGCAGUGAAAUGCGUAGAGAUGUGGAGGAAUACCGAUGGCGAAGGCAGCCCCCUGGGCCAAUACUGACGCUCAUGCACGAAAGCGUGGGAGCAAACAGGAUUAGAUACCCUGGUAGUCCACGCCCUAAACGAUGUCAACUAGUUGUUGGGGAUUCAUUUCUAGUAACGUAGCUAACGCGUGAAGUUGACCGCCUGGGGAGUAC
rnacentral:rRNA from 1 species